UCAAGUCUUUAAUCUCAAGGCUGGAAAGCCUGAGUGAAGAAAAGGUUCCGGGUAUCUCUUUCGAAAUUACUUUGGACAGUAAAUCCAUGGAAGUAAUUAAUCUAAUAAUUGCCUGCAUAAUUAUAAGACUAACAAAUCUUGGGUGAAAUGACAAAAGAAUUAAGUACAUAAAAGACUAACGCUUAUAGUCAUAGUUGGAAUGGAAAUUAUAGCCAAACAGAUUAUUGAUCCAACAGCCUGAAACCCAGUCCCAGAGCAGGCAGUAUAUGAGUGACACUAAAUAAUUAGUAUAUUAUUAUAUAUAAAAAUGCAUAUGAACUAAUCCUUCUCCCAUAGUUCCAAAAUGAAGGAGUUAGAAACCAUACCAUGGAUAGAGCGAACAGGAGGGAAAGAAGACCCAAUUCAGGAGUGGGUCGGAUCCAAAGCUGCCUACUCGACUCAAUGAGCGGAGCUGAUGAAUACCCCAUCAUGAAUUUUGAUGAUUCUAUUUUCUACGGCUUGGAAGCUUCAUCGCAGCGGUUGGCUAAUACGAUUGAUGAUGACGCCACUAUUUUUUCCGGCCGCAUCACUAUUGAUGCCGGAAAAUGAGUUGAGCUCUCAGAAAAGACUACGACUCGACUGUGGGUCAGGCGGGUUUUGUGGUGUGAACCCUAGAUUUAUCAGAGACGCUCAUAAAAGCCCUAGAUUUAUCCAAAUUUCUCAAACCAAAACCUCGAAUUACAUGCUUGAAACCCGUGAAACAAACCGAAUUAAAGCUUCUGAAGCUUCAAAAAUGGCGAGAUUUUGAGGAGACAUGGAAAGGAAAAGGAGAGAGGAACUCAUCUGCAUAAUACCAACACCCCAGAGCGAGA
rnacentral:lncRNA from 1 species